rnacentral:rRNA from 1 species
UACGGAGGGGGCUAGCGUUGUUCGGAAUUACUGGGCGUAAAGCGCACGUAGGCGGCUUUGUAAGUUAGAGGUGAAAGCCCGGGGCUCAACUCCGGAAUUGCCUUUAAGACUGCAUCGCUAGAACGUCGGAGAGGUAAGUGGAAUUCCGAGUGUAGAGGUGAAAUUCGUAGAUAUUCGGAAGAACACCAGUGGCGAAGGCGACUUACUGGACGACUGUUGACGCUGAGGUGCGAAAGCGUGGGGAGCAAGCAGG